GUGAGGAAUAUUGGUCAAUGGGCGAGAGCCUGAACCAGCCAAGUCGCGUGAAGGAUGAAGGUUUUAUGAAUUGUAAACUUCUUUUGCAGGGGAAUAAAGUACGGUACGUGUACCGUUUUGUAUGUACUCUGCGAAUAAGGAUCGGCUAACUCCGUGCCAGCAGCCGCGGUAAUACGGAGGAUCCAAGCGUUAUCCGGAUUUAUUGGGUUUAAAGGGUGCGUAGGUGGUUUGAUAAGUCAGCGGUGAAAGUUUGCAGCUUAACUGUAAAAAUGCCGUUGAAACUGUCGGACUUGAGUGUAAAUGAGGUAGGCGGAAUGCGUGGUGUAGCGGUGAAAUGCAUAGAUAUCACGCAGAACUCCGAUUGCGAAGGCAGCUUACUAAGCUACAACUGACACUGAAGCACGAAAGCGUGGGGAUCAAACAGGAUUAGAAACCCUAGUAGUCC
rnacentral:rRNA from 1 species